rnacentral:rRNA from 1 species
GAGUUUGAUCCUGGCUCAGGAUAAACGCUGGCGGUGUGCCUAAUGCAUGCAAGUCGAACGGUCCUUCGGGACAGUGGCGAACGGGUGAGUAACACGUAAGCAACCUGCCCCUAAGUGGGGGAUAACUUCGGGAAACUGGAGCUAAUACCGCAUGUGGUGGCCCUUCAACAGAAGGGUCAUUAAAGCCUUCGGGUGCUUGGGGAGGGGCUUGCGUCUGAUUAGCUUGUUGGUGAGGUAACGGCCCACCAAGGCAAUGAUCGGUAGCUGGUCUGAGAGGAUGGUCAGCCACACUGGGACUGAGACCACGGCCCAGACUCCUACGGGAGGCAGCAGCAAGGAAUAUUGUGCAAUGGGCGAAAGCCUGACACAGCGACACCGCGUGGGGGAAGAAGGUCUUCGGAUUGUAACCCCUUUUCUCAGGGAAGAAUAAUGACGGUACCUGGUGGCAUAAGUCUCGGCUAACCUACGGUGCCAAGCAGCCCGCGGGUAAAUAACGUUAGGGAAGGCCAAGCCGUUAGUCCCUCCGGAUAAUAUUGGGCGUAAAGCGCGUGUAGGCGGCUUUUCAAGUCGGAUGUAAAAUCUCCCGGCUCAACUGGGAGGGCCCAUUCGAUACUGUUGGGCUAGAGUGCAGCAGAGGGAGGUGGAAUUCCCGGUGUAGUGGUGAAAUGCGUAGAUAUCGGGAGGAACACCAGUGGCGAAGGCGGCCUCCUGGGCUGCAACUGACGCUGAGACGCUAAAGCGUGGGGAGCGAACAGGAUUAGAUACCCUGGUAGUCCACGCCGUAAACGAUGGACACUAGGUAUGGGGAGUAUCGACCCUCUCCGUGCCGUAGCUAACGCAUUAAGUGUCCCGCCUGGGGAGUACGGCCGCAAGGCUAAAACUCAAAGGAAUUGACGGGGGCCCGCACAAGCAGCGGAGCGUGUGGUUUAAUUCGAUGCAACACGAAGAACCUUACCAGGGCUUGACAUGCUGGAAGUAGAAACCCGAAAGGGCGACGACCUGUUAAGUCAGGAACCUGCACAGGUGCUGCAUGGCUGUCGUCAGCUCGUGCCGUGAGGUGUCGGGUUAAGUCCCAUAACGAGCGCAACCCUUGUUGCUAGUUGUUUUCUCUAGCGAGACUGCCCCGCAAAACGGGGAGGAAGGCGAGGAUGACGUCAAGUCAGCAUGGCCCUUAUGCCCUGGGCUACACACACGCUACAAUGGGUGGUACAGCAGGUAGCAAUGGGGUGACCCGGAGCUAAUCCUUAAAACCAUCCUCAGUACAGAUUGCAGGCUGAAACCCGCCUGCAUGAAGGCGGAGUUGCUAGUAACCGCGUAUCAGCAUGGCGCGGUGAAUACGUUCUCGGGCCUUGUACACACCGCCCGUCACGUCAUGAAAGUUGGCAACACCUGAAGUCGAUGGGCCAACCUGAUUUAUCGGGAGGUAGUCGCCGAAGGUGGGGCUGAUGAUUGGGACGAAGUCGUAACAAGGUAACC